UCACUUUGAAUGCACACACUCCUUCACUUAGUGCCCAGGAGUGCUAAUAAAAGCGUCAGCAGUGUGGGUUCUCUCCAGCCGGGCUCUGGGUUUAGUUCAGGUCUCACAGUAGGUGAACAAAAGCCCAGCUGUACAAUUGCCCAGACUAGGCAGACUGCUCCUCAGUUUUGCAGGAGUCGGAGCUGUGGAAAGCAGCAAAGGCAGGGAUUGUUUGAUUCCCAGCAUUGUACCUCCGAGGAACCUGAUCCUGUGUUCUAUGCAGCAAGUAGGAUCCUGCUACAGAAGGUACUGCUUCUCUUUCAAGAUAAAACUAUGCCAGAAGUCACGGCUGAGUAACCUAAAUUGCUUCAUAGGCAUCUUCAUGCUUUAUAAUUCUGUAAUGGUCUCUGUUUGUUGCAAAAUGAAGCUUCUCUCCUAAAAAAUGUCUGGCAGUUUCUUCUAUGAAGCAAGAACACUGAAGGAUCAUUCAUCUUUUAAGUCUCACUGUGCUGCUCUCUGCCAUCACAAACUCUUCUCUUGAACCUCGCCUCCUCUCAGCAUCUUGAAAAGUUCCCAUCACGGAUGUCAAACCCACACUCAGCUGACGAUGGAACAUUUUGAUGGGAUAAUCACACAGGAGGUGGAAAAACAUUCCUAGGGAAGAAAUGAAGUGACUCAUGAGAGAAAUUACAGACAGAGACAAAACAUUAUCUACAGCCAGUGACCUUGUGGACAUGACAAGUGGGGGUCUCCAUCAGAGUCACUCAUCUGGGAGGUCUGCCUGCCGUCACCUGCUCUAUCCGCCAAUGGCCUCCAACAAAGGGUGAUUCGCGUUACAAAAUUUUUAAGAUAUUGUAUUUGCAUUAAACAUAAAAUAUUCAAUUCAGUAAAUCACUCAGCAUUUAUUCUUCCUGAUGAAUUUCCCAAAGAUGUCGUCUAAGAAAAUGAUCAUUAGAGGUGACAACAAAUGGAGUCCUAGCACUAGUUUUAAAUUUGAGGAUAUUCUGAGACAUUUAAGAUUUGCAUCUGUUGUAUUUCCACUUAAAAUUAUGGAAUUUAAGGUUGUUUGGUGUUUUAUCAAG